rnacentral:lncRNA from 13 species
AUGGAGGAAUUCAAGGAGCAGAAGGGGGUUCAGCCGCACGUCUCCCUUAUUGCUGAGGAUUCUUCAUUUCUCAUUAUAAGAGACGUCCACGCUUCCCUUCUGGAGGGGACGGCGUCUGUCUCGUGUGUCCUGGAUGAGACACGUGGCUCUCUGGAGUGGUGCAAUGGCUAUUCCCCAUCAUCUGUGGUGCUGGCGUUUUCACCUAAUUCUACCACUCGGCAUUUUUGUACACUUAGAACACGGGUUAGAAAGAGUAGGGAAUCUGGGAAGGAAUCGUAUAGAAUUAGAAACACUCCUCAUCUCUUUUUAAAUAAACGGAAUGCAACUAUGAAGCACAUGCCUCUUCGCAAUCUUCAUUUUCUCUCUUCCAUAGUCAAUCAUUCAUGAGGAUUUUUCUUGUGAUGAAACAUACGGCUGAUUGAUGUUUCUGAUGAAGAACCUUUUCUGCUGUGGUGACUAUGUGUGUGUUCAUGUUCAUACACGCAUGUGUCGUGCAUGGAUGUACACACAUGACUGUGGGCCUGGGUGUUCACAAGGGAGCUGGGCCUGUCUCGUUCUGGGUUUGACCCCUCUCGCAGCAGAAACCAGCUGACAGCAAGAGGGGCCCGGCUCUACGUCCUUGCUCUGGAGAGCACUGCCCAGUCCAUGCAAGACUCAGUGUUUCCAUUAGUGAUGUGGGGAGAGCAAAACCCACCCAGGCUGCAGGUAUGAGGCUUAAGAAGGCAGGGCUGUGUAUCCUGCACCCCGUGUGACGUCACAUGACCUGGUUAGGACCACUGAGAAUUUCCAAAUGCUGCCGUGAGAAGCAGGCCCGUCACUUGCCCUUCUGUAUCUGGGGGUGCACGGUGGGUUUCUGUCUGCCUGGGAACUAAGAGAAGGCCAGACCUGCAGGCCCUGGGGCACUAGAAGGCCAGACCUGCAGGCCCUGGGGCACUCGUAUGGAGGAAGUCAACGGCCCCACAGAUGAACUCCGUGGGAGUUUAUGUGAAAAAGCUAAAAGCGAUUUUGCUUAUAAAAAGUUCCAAAUUAUUGCUGAUAGUCCAAUUAACUUCCCCAAAAUAUAUGCACACAGUGUGGGAGAGUCAACCACUUUCCAAUGAAAGAAGCUGUGAAUUCUACACCCAAAGGCUCAAGAGUCCUCAGCUGGGCUGUCAGGAGCCCCCUGCUGGGCAAGGAGCAGCUUAAUUCUUUUCUCUUUGGAUGCUGGGUGCUGCAUGCUGGGUUCUGGAUUCUUGGGGCUCAGUGAUGGAUGCUGGGUGCUGAGUGCUGAAUGCUUGGGGCUGGGUGAUGGAUGCUGGGUGCUGAGUGCUGAAUGCUUGGGGCUGGGUGCUGGAUGCUGGGUUUUGAUCACCUCAGAAAACACUGCGGACUUGAGGGAUCCCUGAAU